rnacentral:rRNA from 1 species
UACGGAGGGUGCAAGCGUUAAUCGGAAUUACUGGGCGUAAAGCGUGCGCAGGCGGUUUGUAAGACAGAGGUGAAGUCCCCGGGCUCAACCUGGGAAUGGCCUUUGUGACUGCAAAGCUGGAGUGCGGCAGAGGGGAUGGAAUUCCGCGUGUAGCAGUGAAAUGCGUAGAUAUGCGGAGGAACACCGAUGGCGAAGGCGAUCCCCUGGGCCUGCACUGACGCUCAUGCACGAAAGCGUGGGGAGCAAACAGG